CACGUAGGGGCCAAGCGUUGUCCGGAAUCAUUGGGCGUAAAGAGCGUGUAGGCGGCUCGGUAAGUCCGCUCUGAAAGCCCGGGGCUCAACCCCGGGAGGCGGGCGGAUACUGUCGGGCUAGAGUCCGGAAGAGGCGAGUGGAAUUCCUGGUGUAGCGGUGAAAUGCGCAGAUAUCAGGAGGAACACCAAUGGCGAAGGCAGCUCGCUGGGACGGUACUGACGCUGAGACGCGAAAGCGUGGGGAGCAAACAGG
rnacentral:rRNA from 1 species